ensembl:lncRNA
AGAGAAGGAGAUGAGACAACACAGGUGGAAGCGAUGCCGCUGCUGGUUUUAAAGAAGACAUAGGGCUAUGAGCCAAGGAAUGCAGGCAGCCGCUAAGAGCUCCAAAAAGCAGGGAAUGGAUUCUCCCCUUAGAGCCUCGGGAAGGGGUGAAGCACUGCCGACACCUUGGUGUUAGUCCAGUGAGACUUCUGAGGUCUAGAACUGAAAAGAACCAAAGGAGAAUUGGGAUGUGUUACCUCAAACAAGAGAAGGGGAAACGGAGAUCCAGUUACUCUGAAGGUCCAGUUUUCUCCAAGACUUUACAUCAGAUGUGAAGCUAUGGACAGAAUAACUAUCCACCACCUUCUCACGUGCAUCCUUCCAAGAGCUUCUCCAAGAGUACACAACAUCAGAUCUGUUCCUGGCACCAUCGUGGAGAGGUCACACCAUUGCUGCUGUCCCCAACUCAGUCACUUCCAGAGCUUCAUGGACCCAACCCAGUUUUCUUGGAUGUCCACUCUAAUUUCUUUGUGAAUAGUCGUCAUGGUGGUUACUUCUUUCCAAUGAAGAAGUGAGAAAGAUUCCCUUACAGCAAUUUUUCUUUUUUUUAGAGUUUGUUUCUCGUAUCUUUUAUUUUGGGGGUGGUGGGGGUGAGGAAGAUUGGCAGGAGCUAACAUUUAUUGCCAAUCUUCCUCUUUUUGCUUGAGGAAGAUUGUCACUGAGCUAACAUCUGUGCCAACUUUCCUCUUUUUUUUGUAUGUGGGACACAGCCACAGCAUAGCUUGAAGAGCGGUAUGUAGGUCCACAGUAGGAUCUGAACCCGUGAACCCUGGGCCACCAAAGCGGAGUGCAAAAUCUUAACUGCUACACCACCAGGCCACCCCUUACGGUAAAUCCUUUAGGAAACAAAAUACAAAGCCAGGAGGUUUAGACUGUAAUUGGAAAAGAAUCUUGACUUUGGUGAUCACAGAUCUGGGUUCAAAUUCUUGCUGUUACUAAAUAUCAACUUGGAAGAGUAACAUCUCUGAGCCUGUUUCCUUGUCUCUAAAAUAGAGAUCGUAAUGCCACCUUCUUAAGGAUAAAAUGAAGUAUCAUGUGUAGAAUGUCUGGGCACACUGGAGGAGUGCCAUGAGGUGGGCUUCCUUACCUACUUGAAGUGCUUUCAGGGAGGUGUUUUGCUUGAGUAAGGUGUGGUUGCUGCUUCAAUGUAAGCAAACACAGGAGCAGAUCCCCCUAAAUAUUGUCCACAUUAAGCUGAGCUCUGUUGGGCAGAUGGGAAAUUGACUAGUGGGAGGACUCUAGGAUUUCUUAGACUGUUUCUCCUCUGAGGGUUUGUAGGCUGAAACCAAAAUUGAAAGAGAAUCUUGUCUCUUAGACCCUUCUCUUUCUACCUCAUCCUCUACCCUCUCUGUCUGAACGCACUUUAUUCCUCACCAGGUUCACGUUAAUAUAGGGAGGGUCUCCUUGCAGCAUCCCCAGACCCUGCCACGUCUCUACCCUGAAUCUGGGGCUUGGGCUGCAGGAGACCGCGACGCCUCCUGGUUUCCAUGGAGACCCUACUUUAUGUAAAUGGCGGCUCCGGAGUCGGAGGGAAACCUGAGCGUUUGUAUUUAAACGAGGGAAAGCGGGGGAAGGGGAAGUAAAAGAAGAGAGAAGGAAACCGGAGUUGGGAGGAUGGUGGAGGAACUCACUGUGCUUUAAGAAAAUGAAACAUAUAGAAGUAGGAGGAUGGACAGCCUGACAAAGAUGAGCAAGAAAGAAGUAACGAUGUGGAUGGCAAAAAAAAAUAUCUGCAAGUUGGUGCUAUGGAUGAUAGUGGUUAAAUCUGCUGAUGAUUCUAGAUAUUCAUGAUAGGGGAAGCACUAUCUCUCAUUGCCUCUGUAAUGGUGAUCCUUGUUAUUUCAAGAAAGUUCUCUUUGAAGCUGAUGAAUUCGGUUCCCAGAAAAAGACCUGAGACUGAUGUUGGGGAAAAGGAGCACCUUCUCCCCAUCACGAACCGCACUCUCGGAGGCCUAACCAUCCAAGGCAGGAUGGUUUCAAUCACUCCUGCCAUCCAGUCAUCGCUGACGCUGCUUGGCAGCCAGCCUUCCUCUAAUGGAAUGCAUCCUGCAGCUGGGAAUUAGGUCAUCAGCAAUUCACUUAAUAGCAUUUUAUGUGCUCGGCUCUGACACAAGAGAGUGAUCUGGUCUUACCAGCAGGAGCAUUCCUUGAUGUGAGAGGAAAGGGGAAGGAAAAUAUACCAGCCUGAAGAAUCAGAUGCUACAUUCAUUUCCAGAAAGUAAUAGCCCUUCUUCUGAGUCCUGGAACCUUAGUGCACACAAUCUUCCAGUUCCAAAAAAAUUGGGAUGAUUGAAGCUGAAAUCAGCACCUGGAAUGGUAAUGAAUAAAAAUAUGAGUCAGUUUUUUUAUCCCUUCAAUUGAAUAGUGUGUAUAGAAAAUAUUCAAUUAACAACUAUCUUCUGAGCAUUUACUACAUGGACUCAGCACUGCAAAGUAUGGUGAAAUAUAAGAGAAAGGAUAACCUAUGAUACCAGCCUUCAAAUUUAUAAUCUGGUUGGGAAGAUAAGAUUAAGAUGCACAAAUUAACGAAAUCAAUUAAAAACAUUCUAUAGUCAUGUUUAACGAUGUGGCACAAAUUCUAAGUGCAACAGGAAUAUAGAGAAAAGUAGAAGUACUCUAAGCAAGCAUUAUCCAGGAAAGCUUAAUGAAUGGCAGUGGGGCUGAAGCUGCCCUUGAAGUGAGGAUAUCACAUAGGAUGCCCCGCUUCUAGUUUGUCUGUCUCCAGCUUCCCUAUGCCAACAACCUUCAGUCAGAGCACCCCUGAAGUCAAUCCCUUUUUUCACUAUAAAACUUUCCCAUUCCCCUGCCUGCCUUUGAGUCUUGGCCAAGUCUAAGUGAUGGUGGCUGAAUCUCUGGUUAUGUAGCACGCUCUGAAUAAAUAGCCUGUUUGUUCUCAUUUGGGUGGUUUUCGUUUAUUUCCACAGUGGAGGAGCACCC